UACGUAGGGGGCGAGCGUUGUCCGGAAUUACUGGGCGUAAAGCGCGCGCAGGCGGCCUAUUAAGUCAGGUGUUAAAAUGCGGAGCUUAACUCCGUAUCGCACUUGAAACUGGUAGGCUUGAGUGCAGGAGAGGGAAGUGGAAUUCCCAGUGUAGCGGUGAAAUGCGUAGAUAUUGGGAGGAACACCAGUGGCGAAGGCGACUUCCUGGACUGUAACUGACGCUCAGGCGC
rnacentral:rRNA from 1 species